AGAACGAACGCUGGCGGCAGGCCUCAAACAUGCAAGUCUAGGGGGUGUAGCAAUACAUCACCGGCGGACGGGUGCGUAACGCGUGGGAAUGUACCUAUUGGUUCGGAACAACUGAGGGAAACUUCAGCUAAUACCGGAUGAGCCCGAAAGGGGAAGAUUUCUCGCCAAUAGAUCAGCCCGCGUCCGAUUAGCUAGUUGGUGGGGUUAAAGCCUACCAAGGCGACGAUCGGUAGCUGUUCUGAGAGGAAGAUCAGCCACACUGGGACUGAGACACGGCCCAGACUCCUACGGGAGGCAGCAGUUGGGAAUCUUGGACAAUGGGGGAAACCCUGAUCCAGCCAUGCCGCGUGAGUGAUGAAGGCCUUCGGGUUGUAAACUCUUUCGACGGGGACGAUAAUGACGGUACCCGUAGAAUAAGCCCCGGCUAACUUCGUGCCAGCAGCCGC
rnacentral:rRNA from 1 species